rnacentral:rRNA from 1 species
UAUAUUGUGUGUAUGUUUACACUAGUCGUAGUUCUAAUGUUAGUCUAUUGUUCGAGAUGUUCAUAUGUUAGUCUAUUGUUCGAGAUGUUCACAUGUUAGUGUACUCGGUUCAAAACGAUGUAGUUUAAUGAGAGUCUUAAUCGAGGUUACUCGAUCUUGAUACGAAGGAGGCUGAAGAAACAGGACUAUAAGCGUUUCCUUGUACUUUCCGGUCGAGGGACACCUUGUUGAUUCAACUACUUCUGUACGUCGUCGUUGUCGUCUUCGGAACGUAGUAACCAAACCAGCGUAGCUGCGACCUUUCUCGAGUCGACAUGUACUAGUCGUGGGCUCGCCGAGUUGGAGAGAUAGGGGACGGAGUUGAGUGGACACGCCAACGACGUCAAACUAUGUUCACACAUUUAUGUUGUAUGAAACGUAGUAUAUAGAUCUGAUAUUGUAGAAUAAGAGUGAUCGUCUCGUACUUUCAAGGUAGUCCAACGUAGUUUUAGUGAUGACUUUUAUUUUUCUACCGUACAUCAUUAUCAUUGUCCGACGACAUCAUUAU